rnacentral:lncRNA from 1 species
AUGAUUAUCUACUGGGACCUUGUCAGCCAUGAUCAGGUGUGUUCACGAGAUCCGGGAGAUCUCAGACUGGCUGUGCGUGGAAGUGGAGGCGAAGAUGGUCUGUAGGAGAGAGGGUAACACUGAUGACUCGCUCAUUGGUGGAAAUGCCUCCGCUGAAGGCCCCGAGGGCGAGGGCACGGAAAGCACAGUAAUGGCUGGUGUUGAUACUGUCAUGAACCAUCACUUUCAGGAAACUAGCUUCACCAGAGAAGCCUACAAGAAAUACAUCAAAGGUUACGUGAUAUCAAAGACAAACUUGAAGAACAGAGACCAGAAAGAGUAAAACCUUUUAUGACAGGGGCUGCAGAGCCCCUUGCAAUCAUGUCAAGCACAUCCUUAGUAAUUUCAAAAACGACCAGUUCUUCUGUAUUGGGGAAACCAUGAAUCCAGGUGGCAUGGUUGCUUUACUGGACUACUGGAAGGAUGGUGUGACUCCAUAUGUGAUUUUCUUUGAGGAUGAUUUAGAAAUGGGAAAAUGUUAA